GGGGAAGUAUUGCUCUUGUCCUCCGCAUCGCCGACCGCUCAGAGAUCCGGGGCCUCGCUCCUUGGGCUAAAGGGCAGGCAGAGCCAAGGAGGAUCCUCUGCUCCCCCAAACAAGAAAACUAGUAGGGCUGCUUCCUCCUACACAGGGGAAGUGAAACAGCCCUGCCUUCGAGACAGGCCAGCAGGGGUGGAGCAAUAGCUCCAACAAGCGGCUGGCAGGCAAAGGACCUGUGGCAGCUGAAUACAUGCAGCGUAUCUAGCACUGGACACCCCUGUCCUCUCUCAGGAUGUAGCGACUGUGGGCGCCAGCGCUGUCUUCCGCUGCUCCAACCUCUGGAAGCUCAGACUCUUGUGUCUUUUCAGGCUCUCCUAAUGAUGUCUCCUCUCCCCCUGGCCCAGAUCUCAAGAUCCCCUCUCCUUGGCCAUUGUGUAUUCCUGAAAUCCAAACUUCCCCAGUGCUUUCUUCACACCUGCUUAGAGAGCGCUCUUCCAAGCACACCAGUGAGGCCUUUUGCCCACUCUGGGAAUCCCUGCUGGCACAAUCUAUCCCAGACAUGAGCCCCAAGCACCCCCCCCCCCCCCCCGUGGCUGGAGGAGUCCCAGCCAACCCCACCCCACCGAAUGCCAGGUCAGCUCCAGAGCCGGGCUGUGCUGCUGCCCCAACUCCCGCCACCCCAGUGACACUGGCUUCGGACAGAGAGAGAGGUUGGGGCCUCAGAAUGCAACAUGGGUGGGACCACAGCCCGGGUCAGGGGAGGCUUAGCCCGCCCUGGCCUAUGAUACCCACCGCCCAUGCUCCCGGAGCCUAUCCAGUUAAGAAACAGGGGGCUGAGCUGGUGUUAUAGUGGGACGUUUGCCUCCUCCUUUCCCCCUCCGCUUCAUUGGACUGGGAGACACAUCCAGGAUCUCUAAUUCUCAGGGGUCAGAGACAGACAGAUGCUUUCAGCUAAUUCAGCAUUGUUCAAACAAAUCGGCUCUCAGGCUGAAGCCUGGUUUGCCAAGGUUCAGUGCAGAGCCAAGUGCAUAGGCUGUGAAGGCCAGACACAAGCAUGAGAGGACUCUGGGGCAGGCGGCCCUUCACACCGUUCUGGGUUCCCUUUUCCUGGGAAUGCUGCAGGGGCAGCUAGCUCUGUGGUGAGAUGCAGGUCUGGAGACAUAGGUCAGGAGCAGAGAGGCAAGUUGAUGGGUAGCUGAAUUCAUGUGAGCCGAGUAGUGGAGAGGAUCAGCAAGUGGGUCAAUGGAAGAGGGACGUGAGAGCUGCUGAGAUACCUUGGGGUGGAAUUUUCCCCAUGCUUGUGUACUCAGGGUAAACCCCAGCAGCUGAAUUAGUGCAAACUUUGGCUUGUCCUUGCCCACACUUGCCCCUGUGUGGGUCAGCACGCAGAAGCAGUUAUGUUGAUUGCUGAAGCAGGGCAUUCUGAGUGGAGACAUGGCUUCAGUAAAUGAUGCUUCAGCAAUAAACUCAGUUAAGCAAGUGAAGAAUCAGCAGAGCUGUGAAAUAAAGUCUAUAGGGAGUAACAGUGAAAUCACCCUUUCCACUACACCAAGCUGCUUUCACUGGUGUGGAGACCAUUGUCUGCAGGCAGAUCCUGGCUGGAGCCCGGGGCAGAUUUGCAGGGUACCUCUUCCUGCCUGUCACCCAGACUCAACAGAACAUCUGGCUCCAAGCGGGAUGUGUGAUUUCCUCCUGCAGCACUCUGACUUCCCCUGCACUAGAGGGAGGCAGAUCAGGGCAGCUGACACCUACAAUAUCAAAGCCAGGACACUGGGGUUGGCAGGAGCUGGCAAACUAUUAGCCCAGGAUUUCCAGGGUGCAAAGGGGAGGACAGCAAGGAAGGGAGAGGAUGAAGAUGAAGAACAGCUGGAUUAAUAGAGAAUGGGGAGAGGGGGAUUCCAAACCUGUGAGCUUUUCCUUUGCCUCCGGGUUGGCCUUCUGUACAAGGUAAAGUUGGGGCGGGGGGAUUUCAGAGUUCUUUGUGGCUAGGCAGUAUGGGCUAGUUAGCGAGGACGCUGGGCUAGGAGUCAAGUGUCUUAGGUUCUAGUCCUGGCUCUGCUAUUGAUUGGCUGUGUGACCCUGGGCAAGUCACCUCUUCUCUGUGUGCCUCUUUCCAUGCCAGCCAGACCACGGUAAGUGCAUGUGGUGAUUCACAGGGCAAAUGAUCCGCCCUGCUGCCCGAGCUCUGCUCUAGUACAAUGGAGACGGGGGUUAUCAGAAAGCAGCCUGUAACUUCCUGAUCCCCACCUGUCUUGGUCCCAGUGGAAGUUAGAGCUGCCAGGAAGCUACUCUGAGUGGAGCAAGGCCUAAGUGAAUAGAGAACUGAGCGAUUACACUGUCAGCUAAGCAGGUGAAGAAUCCGGGACCUUAUGCCAGUGGAGGAUUGGGCAUAGCAGAUUCCUGCUUCCCCGCACCCUUGCCGCCCACCUGGAAUACCCCCAACAGGCUUUGCACCUCUACACCAGAGGUUCUGGGGGCGUCUGGUCCAGGAAGUGGCUAUGCUGGCAGAGUUCCCCUGCACAAGGGGAAGUCGCCACGGGCCAUCUCUGUCCACUUUAAACCCACAUUGGGCUGCUUACGGCAGUGGACUUAGCAGACCAGAGAAUCCAACCCAAGGUCCUUUCCCUGCAGAGCUCAUAAAGGAACACAGACCUGACAGGACAGGAGUUCAGCCACCCAGCGUGUGGAGACAACACGGGUGAGGAGAGCGAGCAGCCCAGGGAGGGGAGGGGUGAGGAAGGAAGGGGAGAGGCCUUGGUGGAGGAGAGAUUGUUCCAUGCAGAUCUGGGGAAAGCUUGUUCAUUGCAACACUCCAUUUCUAAGCAGGGGAUGGAGGGGAUAGCUUUGUCCCAGGAGUCACCAUGCCUCUGCAGUGGUGUAUGCUGGCAGUUCACACACUGCAGGCCCCAAAUUCCAGGCAGGGGUUAGUUUACACUCAGCUGGUUCCUGAUCUGGAGAGCUACAGGUGGCUGCCUCAUCCCAGUUCUUGUGCAGGAAACAUGGGGGUAAGAGACAGCACAAAGCAGACAGCUGUGCCGGAGGUGCAGGAACCAGCCCUGUGGAGAUGCACGUGAGGGGGCUCUGCGAGGUCUGCGAGCCACCGGGAAUCAUCCAGAGCAGCAAGCGAAGGCCGAGACUGAACGGACUGAGAUCAGCCUAGUGCUGGACAUGCUGCUCUUCUGGAUCUACUCGGCACCCUGUGGACAGCCUGGUACAGGUCCCCCUAGCACCAUAGCUGUAGUUUGACUUCUAUGUUUGGGGCACCUCCAGCCAGGCCAAUGGGGCUAUGCGUGGGGGGCAAAUUCCGUGCCUGCUGGAGGCUUGUAAUUUGGGGGGCAGUGCCCCCCCUGCUCCCACAAACCACACCCAUGCCUAGCAGCCAUCCCAGAAACUCCCAACCACCUAGCCCUGGCCCUCCAGUGGCAAACAUGGAACCCAGGGGCUUUCAAAAAGUUUGACCCUAUUUCCAAGUGCCCAGCAGGGUUUUAAACUAUGUGAUCCCCACCGACCUCACUGGAAGUCGCACAGCUAAACUCUGCUGGCUCGUGGCGAGCAGAACAGAAUUCCUGGUCAGGGAACGUUGUGCCUUGCUAGUCCUGCUUGGGGGAGUCCAUUUCACACUGUCCCUGACCCCUCUGCAGCAGCAAUUCUUCCCAAAGGUAUGUUACUCCUCCAUUUCCAGGCAGGAGAGUGGCACUUCUCUAAGGCACAGGAUGGCAGGGUCAGCCUGGGACCUGACAAUCCAGCUAGAUUCAUGCUCCUCAGCCCCAGCCACCACGAUCCUAGACUUCACAUGAAGCUGCCAGUUCUGUAGCUGAUGCCUAAGGUGGAUAGAUCCCAGCCCACCUUUGUGUGGCUCUCGGGAGUUUGUGGGGCCAAAUGAAGUGAAACCCUGGGGUGAAGCACAGCACACACAACUGCAGCCCAGGGGUGGGGUGCAAAGGUGGAGUCUAGGAUGGCUGGGGACCGAAAUAGCCCAUGGUAUGACUUAGAUAGUUCCAGGGAGCAGCUCUAAGUUACACCAGCCUCCCGAGAACUACCUAUGGGCAGCUCCACAACCUAGAGCUCCCCAGAAUCCCCACAGCAGCAUGGACUUCAGCCCCAUCCCCUCUCACUCUAACACACCCCCAGCCUGUCUGUGGCGCACCCCCUUAGCCAGGGAGUGGGAGGGAGCCUGCAUGGGACAGCCUACAGCUGUCCACCAAGAUCCGGGUGCUGGGGGAUUCUCUCCACUGUACUCCACCAUAGCAGCACAAAGGAGCGGGACCAGAGGUUAUCCCUCCACUGGGCGGCAACCCAAGAGCAGAAGUGACUCAGUGGAUACAUGGGGCAGAACUGGCUGGCAGCUGACACUUUGUACCAUGACAGCAGUUUAACCCUUUGCUAUUCUGAAGAGCUUUUGGGAGCUCCAUAGUUAAGGCUGCAGCCAGCUUCCAUUAAAAAGCUCUCUCUUAAUACUGUCCCCUCCCCCCCCCCUUAUCAUUUUGUUUGGGAAAAUAUGCUUGGCCUACAGAUUUACUCUGGCGCCUCAGGAAAACAGGUUGGCCAAGUCUGAGGAGGAUUUGUCAAGCCAUUUUGGCGUUACAGCUAAUUGCCCCAAGUGGAAAUUUUUACUUGUAACUUCCCCUAGUUCAGAAGUGGCUUGUUCCUGCCCCUGCCAGUUUUCCAGGGUGCCAUCCUGGAGACUCGGGUGUUGGCUGCAUUUGAGGAAAAUAGGAUGGAAUUAUCUUUGGGGCAGGUAGAGACUCUCUGUUCCGGGUUUGUGCAGCGCCUAACACCAUGGUGCACUGGCCCAUGGCUGGGGUUCUAGGAUAGACAGAUAAAUAGAUAAAUACAUAAAU